rnacentral:rRNA from 1 species
AUUGAACGCUGGCGGCAGGCCUAACACAUGCAAGUCGCACGAGUGGCGGACGGGUGAGUAAUGUCUGGGAAACUGCCCGAUGGAGGGGGAUAACUACUGGAAACGGUAGCUAAUACCGCAUACCAUCGGAUGUGCCCAGCUGGGAUUAGCUAGUAGGUGGUGUAACGGCUCACCUAGGCGACGAUCCCUAGCUGGUCUGAGAGGAUGACCAGCCACACUGGAACUGAGACACGGUCCAGACUCCUACGGGAGGCAGCAGUGGGGAAUAUUGCACAAUGGGCGCAAGCCUGAUGCAGCCAUGCAGCGUGUAUGAAGAAGGCCUUCGGGUUGUAAAGUACUUUCAGCGGGGAGGCGUUACCCGCAGAAGAAGGACCGGCUAACUCCGUGCCAGCAGCCGCGGUAAUUC